rnacentral:rRNA from 1 species
UACGUAGGCAGCGAGCGUUGUUCGGAGUUACUGGGCGUAAAGGGUGUGUAGGCGGUUGUUUAAGUUUGGUGUGAAAUCUCCCGGCUCAACUGGGAGGGUGCGCCGAAUACUGAAUGACUUGGAGUGCGGGAGAGGAGAGUGGAAUUCCUGGUGUAGCGGUGAAAUGCGCAGAUAUCUGGAGGAAUACCGGUGGCGAAGGCGGCAUCCUGGACCGACAUUUGACGCUGAGGAGCGAAAGCUAGGGGGAGCAAACAGG